UACGUAGGGGGCUAGCGUUGUCCGGAAUCAUUGGGCGUAAAGCGCGUGUAGGCGGCCCGGUAAGUCCGCUGUGAAAGUCGGGGGCUCAACCCUCGAAAGCCGGUGGAUACUGUCGGGCUCGAGUGCGGGAGAGGCGAGUGGAAUUCCUGGUGUAGCGGUGAAAUGCGCAGAUAUCAGGAGGAACACCGAUUGCGAAGGCAGCUCGCUGGAACGUAACUGACGCUGAGACGCGAAAGCGUGGGGAGCAAACAGG
rnacentral:rRNA from 1 species